rnacentral:rRNA from 1 species
GACGAACCGAGCGAACGUUGUUCGGAAUCACUGGGCUUAAAGGGCGCGUAGGCGGGCUGCCGCGUCCGGGGUGAAAUCCCACGGCUCAACCGUGGAACGGCCCCGGGUACGGGCGGCCUCGAGGGGGGUAGGGGCGUGCGGAACUGUGGGUGGAGCGGUGAAAUGCGUUGAUAUCCACAGGAACUCCGGUGGCGAAGGCGGCACGCUGGACCCUCUCUGACGCUGAGGCGCGAAAGUCAGGGGAGCGAACGGG